rnacentral:tRNA from 1 species
GUCCAUAUAGCUCAGCAGGAUAGAGCGGUCGCCUCCUAAGCGACAGGCCGGAGGUUCGAAUCCUCUUAUGGACG